UAGUCGCGACGUAGUUGAUCCUGGCUACAGGACGAACGCUGGCGGCAUGCCUAACACAUGCAAGUCGAACGGAGAAUCGCUUCGGUGAUUCUUAGUGGCGAACGGGUGAGUAACGCGUAGGCAACCUGCCCUUUGGAUGGGGACAACAUUCCGAAAGGAGUGCUAAUACCGAAUGUGACGAUUUUACCGCAUGGUUUAAUCGUGAAAGAUGGCCUCUACAUGUAAGCUAUCGCCAAAGGAUGGGCCUGCGUCUGAUUAGCUAGUUGGUGGGGUAACGGCUCACCAAGGCGACGAUCAGUAGCCGGUCUGAGAGGAUGAACGGCCACAUUGGGACUGAGACACGGCCCAAACUCCUACGGGAGGCAGCAGUGGGGAAUAUUGCACAAUGGGGGAAACCCUGAUGCAGCAACGCCGCGUGAAGGAAGACGGUCUUCGGAUUGUAAACUUUUGUUCUUAGUGAAGAAAAAUGACGGUAGCUAAGGAGAAAGCCACGGCUAACUACGUG
rnacentral:rRNA from 1 species